rnacentral:rRNA from 1 species
UACGGGGGGGGCAAGCGUUGUUCGGAAUUACUGGGCGUAAAGGGCUCGUAGGCGGCCAACUAAGUCAGACGUGAAAUCCCUCGGCUUAACCGGGGAACUGCGUCUGAUACUGGAUGGCUUGAGUUUGGGAGAGGGAUGCGGAAUUCCAGGUGUAGCGGUGAAAUGCGUAGAUAUCUGGAGGAACACCGGUGGCGAAGGCGGCAUCCUGGACCAACACUGACGCUGAGUGAGCGAAAGCCAGGUGAGCAAACGGG